CACCUGUAACUGACGAAAAUGCAGGAAAAGAUACGCCCCUGGCUGCUGUUUUUGAAUUUAGUUAGUAUGCAUAUAAACUGUAGACUCAAAGCUGCUGGAUUGAGUGAUAAUGGCACACAAGUUGUUGUUGGAGAUCGUUCUGGCUAUCUCCAUUUUGUUUACACAUCAAUGGAUCUAAUCUUUCAUUUAUCAACUAUAUAGUGAUGGCCAAUCAGAAUUUUUACAAAUUCAGUUUGCAAAAGCUGAUAAUGGUUGUUGCAGUUUGUUUGUAGUAUCCACUGGUGGAGUCAUUGGAUUUACUAAUAAUGAUAACCAAAUUGACUGAUGCAUUUCAAAGAGGAGGCACUGCUGCUGUCAUACUAGUACUUGUAAUUUUAUCACACAUUUACUGUCUUCUCUCUCUCCCUUGUCUGUCUCUUAAUUUCUCUUUUCUCCCUCUCUCUUUUCCUAUUCCCUUUCCCCUCUUUCUCCUUCUCUUCCAUAGAUUCAAGAAUCUAUAGUACAAGUCUCUGCUAAUAUUUCAACCAAUCAAGAGCUGAUAAACUGUAUAUCAUCUCAUGACCAAUAUGGCUACAUUGUAUCAUCACAAGGAGCAGAGAGUCUGUAUGUAUGGAUGGAGAAAGAGGAGGAGGAGAGGGAGGAGAAUGGGUGGGGCUAUGAACUGAUUGAUAAAGACAAG